rnacentral:rRNA from 1 species
UUUUUGUUCAAAAUUUAAAGUAAUACCUGCCCACUGAAAAUUUGAAGGGCCGCAGUAAUUUGACUGUGCAAAGGUAGCAUAAUCAUUAGUUUUUUAAUUGAAAGCUGGAAUGAAGGGUUUCAUGAAAAAUCAACUGUUUCAAUUUAAAAUUUAUAAUUUUAUUUUUAAGUUAAAAAGCUUAAAUUUUUUUAAAAGACGAGAAGACCCUAUAGAGUUUUAUUUAAUAAGAUUUUUAAUUUUAUAGAAUUUUAAAUUUUAAAUAUUUUAUUAAAUUUGGUUGGGGUGACUAAAAAAUUAAUUGAACUUUUUUGUUUAUUUUCAAUGAUUAUUGUUUUUUUGAUCCAUUAUAAAUGAUUAAAAGAUUAAGUUACCUUAGGGAUAACAGCAUAAUUUUUUUAGAAAGUUCAAAUUGAAAAAGAAGAUUGUGACCUCGAUGUUGGAUUAAGAAAAAUUUUUGGUGAAGAAGCUAAAUAUUUUGGUCUGUUCGACCAUUAAAAUCUUACA